UACGUAGGGGGCAAGCGUUGUCCGGAAUCAUUGGGCGUAAAGCGCGUGUAGGCGGCUCGGUAAGUCCGCUCUGAAAGUCCAGGGCUCAACCCUGGGAUGCGGGUGGAUACUGUCGGGCUCGAGUCCGGAAGAGGCGAGUGGAAUUCCUGGUGUAGCGGUGAAAUGCGCAGAUAUCAGGAGGAACACCGGUGGCGAAGGUGGAUCUCUGGGCCAUUACUGACGCUGAGGAGCGAAAGCGUGGGGAGCGAACAGG
rnacentral:rRNA from 1 species